rnacentral:rRNA from 1 species
UCUUUAUAGCUUGCUAUAAAGAAUAAUUAGUGGCAGACGGGUGAGUAAUGCAUAGGAAUCUACCUAGUAGUAUGGGAUAGCCACUAGAAAUGGUGGGUAAUACUGUAUAAUCCCUGCGGGGGAAAGAUUUAUCGCUAUUAGAUGAGCCUAUGUUAGAUUAGCUAGUUGGUAGGGUAAAGGCCUACCAAGGCGAUGAUAUAUAGCUGGUCUGAGAGGAUGAUCACCCACACCGGAACUGAGAUACGGUCCAGACUCCUGCGGGAGGCAGCAGUGGGGAAUAUUGGACAACGGGCGCAAGCCUGAUCCAGCUAUGCCGCGUGAGUGAGGAAGGCCUUAGGGUUGUAAAACUCUUUCAGUAGGAAAGAUAAUGACGGUACCUACAGAAGAAGUCCCGGCAAACUCCGUGCCAGCAGCCGCGGUAAUACGGAGGGGGCAAGCGUUGUUCGGAAUUAU